ACCCUGACCUGUUCACCGGACGUGCUACCUGUCCCAGACCUGCUGUUUUCAACUCUCUAGAGACAGCAGGAGCGCUGUUCCUGCACACAUCAUUUUUUCUUGAGGCAAUGCGAAGUUUGGUAGCCAGAGUCUACGCCCCUUCGUUGGUGAUUGGUCAACAGUACUACUCCUAUGGGACGAUGGCAGUAGCCUGAACUAUUGGGACAUCUAGUGGUAUCUUUUUCCCUGCAAAAAAGAAGUGGCCUAUUUGGCCCCAAAAAAUCCAGCGAGGAACAUCUCUGAUACUGUCCUUGGAAUCUCUCAAAUCUGGAGUCCCUGGCUCCAACCAACUCGCUCGGACAGUCCAACAGGAGUGCAUCCCUCAGACCAUCCGGUUCAUGGACAUCCUGUGACAGUGUGAUCCGUUUGUGGAGACAACUGCACAUCGAGCCUGUGGAUGAACAGCUCAGUAACUCAAAUAUGAUACAAUAUUGUGUAAAACAGAAUUUGUAGAUGCAUCAACAUUUUGACUUUAUGCCCCCCCUUUUCCCCAUUGUCUCUCCCAUCCUGCAUUUACCAGAAAAAGAAGCUCCACACAACAAAGGGGCUAAGAAAUCAUUUAAACUUGACAGGUUUUUUCUCAUCUUAUUCAACUGUUACCAUGCAUCUGCAAAAAAAGAUAGCACAGAUUUGCGAGUGCCUUUUGAAUUUCAAACUUUACAGAUAUAAAUUCCCACUGUGCCCAUGAUAAAAUGCAAUUAAUAAAAAUGUGAGGAUAUGCACUCA